GUGUUCAACUUUUUAUAACAUGUCUAACAGAGUCUUUACGAUAGAGUCGUCCACUUCUUCGUUUCAGUGCUAUUAAGCACUUCUUCACCCCAAAAAAGGGUACUUAAGUUAAGCAAUUUGCUCUAGAAUACUCUUUGGAAGAACUUAUAGCGUCAUGCAAUAUUAGUAUGGAGACUAGAGGGACUGCAAAAAGUUCACUGCUAUAUCCUCACGGUGGUGUGAAAAUUUUGGCAUGAGAACAAGCUCUACUGUUGUUUGGCAAGGAUUUGAAAGUUCAGGUUCUGAUGUGAGUGUUUGCGGUGAAGUUGUUAUUACUGAAAGUCUUCUCAAGUUGUUCUCUAAAAUUACUUCUUUGGAAGCUAAAAGGGGAUACGCUGGUUUUCAUGAAGAGAUUUUGUAAUUGACAGUGCACUCAACCAAGCUGAAGAAGGCUGAGAUAAUUGAGGCUGCAAGUUGAAAACGCAGUAGGGAGGUCUCUAACAAAGAACAUACCAAGAUUUGUUCUGAAGUAUUUACAUCAGAUUGAGUACAUCAUGAAAAACUGAGGAUGUUUUGAACAGUUUACUGUGUGAUAGCAGGAUGUUUAUUAUCAUAUCAAGAGGCCCCAAGAUCAGCUGGGUCCCCAACCAUUAGAAAAGGUAAAAGCAAAAGUGGUAACUCGUGAUCGUCUACUGUUUGGUUUAACUUUCUGGUUCAAUCGGAUUCCUGAUUUCCUAUUGGGAUUUCUUGUUUAGUUUCAGCAUUGUAAAAGAACUUAUGAUUGCUACUAGAAUGGGACCAAAAAGUGAUCUUAUCUUUCAUCACUAUGCCUUUGACGUUUCAGCCUCUUUCAGGACACACCAGCCUCUAUCGACUCACUUUACCACUUCAUUCUUUUCAUUGCCACGGAAACCGCUUCAAUUCCAUCUCAAUUUUUUUUCUACAUAACUCUUAUAAACAUAAGAUCUUCAACUACAAAAACAAUAACCAAGUUGUGAAGUUGGCUUUAGGGAAAAAAAAAAGAUAAUUGAUAUGAAAUGAAUGAAAAGGUGAAACCAAAUGACCCUCAUUUGACUCAUUGAUGACCACUGCAAGUGCAAAGAAAGAGUGUGACUUACUGUUUGUUUGUUUGUUCGUUCGUUUGUUAAUGCUCCGUGGACAUUACACUUGUAAAAGAAUGGUCAUUUCUUUGAAAACAAAAUGAUCCAUCAGCUGAAACUGAAUUUUCAUGUGUCUAAUCAAACGUGAAAGUUAUUUGCAUCCCUUGGUUUCUCUUCCCCUGGCCUAAAAGAAGUGGCAAUAGGUGGUAGAAAAUGAAGAAAAAAAAAAGCAUGCGAUUGGUUGAGUUUGGCUUGAGUGUGAAGAAUAUACUGCUGGUGGUAGAGGUACCAAGAGGAGAAGCAUGAUUACAAAGGGGGGGCCAGUGUUGAAAGUUGAAACUAUGACCACCUAUAGUCGCCAUCGCAUCUCACAAAGGAAAAUGAUGGAACUCUCCUUUUUCAAAUGUUUCAUGUCACAUAUGCGAGCUUCUAAAAAGGCUGGUUACAUAAUUCACCGUCCAAAUUCCCCACUCUUAUCCAUAUCUAUGCAUAUAGUGGGAAGAGAACUUCUAAUGUAAUGAAGUGGUCAUUGACGUGCGAUCAUUUUUUUCCCACGCCGCCACCAAAACUAGAACAAACCAAAA